rnacentral:lncRNA from 1 species
CAGAUGUAAAAUAAAAAUAAAAAUAAAUUACAUCUCCUUUUAGGAGGCACGUAGGCCUCUCAAAACAUCAAAUAAGAUGCAUGCAAGCAUCUGAAAAAUUACAUGACAUCGCAGAUCACAUCGCAGGUCAUUACAUUUGAUACCAAAAGGGUUUGAAUCCUAUGAUCAUCACCAUAUGCAACAAUUAUAACUUUCAGAUCUGAUAAUUAAUUGAUUAUCUCAUGACAUAGGUUGUUGAUCAUGCUAAUCAUGAUUCUAAACUUUGUAAUCACAUUAACAAUGCUAUUAGAAUCAUCCUUUUAUCAUAUAAAAAUUAGCAUGUAAAAAUCAGCAC